CAGCCGAAACAGGGGUGCUAUAUUUCAUAAUGAUUAAUAUGGCUGAGAAUUACCCUUUAUACCGAUCAAGAUAAUACUUGCGUGGGGAGUUUCUAACUACAACUA
rnacentral:ncRNA from 1 species